rnacentral:rRNA from 1 species
UACGUAGGGGGCAAGCGUUGUCCGGAAUCAUUGGGCGUAAAGCGCGUGUAGGCGGCUUGGUAAGUCCGCUCUGAAAGCCCGGGGCUCAACCCCGGGAGGCGGGUGGAUACUGUCAAGCUUGAGUCCGGAAGAGGCGAGUGGAAUUCCCGGUGUAGCGGUGAAAUGCGCAGAUAUCGGGAGGAACACCAAUGGCGAAGGCAGCUCGCUGGGACGUGACUGACGCUGAGACGCGAAAGCGUGGGGAGCAAACAGG